GUGAGUAUAGCUCAGUGGUAAAGUGUGUUCUUAGCAUGCACAAGGUCCUAGGUUCGAUCCCCAGUACCUCCA
rfam:Camelus ferus unplaced genomic scaffold scaffold1086, whole genome shotgun sequence.